rnacentral:rRNA from 1 species
UACGUAGGUGGCAAGCGUUGUCCGGAUUUACUGGGCGUAAAGAGCGCGCAGGCGGCCAAGUCAGUCGAACGUGAAAGCCCCCGGCUUAACUGGGGAGGGUCAUUCGAUACUGCUCGGCUCGAAGACAGGAGAGGGAAGUGGAAUUCCAGGUGUAGCGGUGAAAUGCGUAGAUAUCUGAAGGAACACCAGUGGCGAAAGCGGCUUCCUGGUCCAGUACCGACGUUCAGGCACGAAAGCGUGGGGAGCAAACAGG